UACUGUUUACUGUUUACUUUUACUGUUGACUAUUUACUGUUCACUGUUACUGUUUACUAUUUCAUUUUACUGUUUCCUGUUUCCUGUUUACUAUUUACUGUUAACUGUUACUGUUUACUAUUUACUUUUACUGUUCACUAUUACUGUUUACUGUUUACUUUUACUGUUGACUAUUUACUGUUCACUGUUACUGUUCACUGUUACUGUUUACUAUUUACUGUUACUGUUUACUGUUACUGUUUACUGUUACCGUUUACUGUUACUGUUUCUGUUUACUGUUACUGUUUACUGUUACCGUUUACUGUUACUGUUUCUGUUUACUGUUACUGUUUCUGUUUACUGUUACUGUUUACUGUUACUGUUUCUGUUUACUGUUACUGUAUACUGUUACUGUUACUGUUUCUGUUUACUGUUUCUGUUUCUGUUUACUGUUACUGUUUACUGUUACUGUUUCUGUUUACUGUUACUGCUCACUGUUACUGUAUACUGUUACUGUUUCUGUUUACUGUUACUGCUCACUGUUACUGUUUACUGUUACUGUUUACUGUUUACUGUUUACUGUUACUGUUUCUGUUUACUGUUACUGCUCACUGUUACUGUAUACUGUUACUGUUUCUGUUUACUGUUACUGCUCACUGUUACUGUUUACUGUUACUGUUUACUGUUUACUGUUUACUGUUACUGUUUCUGUUUACUGUUACUGCUCACUGUUACUGUAUACUGUUACUGUUCACUAUUACUGUUACCGUUUACUGUCACUGUUACUGUUUACUGUUACUGUUCACUAUUACUGUUUACUAUUACUGUUACUGUUUACUAGUACUGUUUACUAUUUACUUUUACUGUUUACUGUUACUGUUUACUAUUACUGUUUACUAUUUACUUUUACUGUUGACUAUUUAUUGUUCACUGUUACUGUUACUGUUUACUAGUACUGUUUACUAUUUACUUUUACUGUUUACUGUUACUGUUUACUAUUACUGUUUACUAUUUACUUUUACUGUUGACUAUUUAUUGUUCACUGUUACUGUUACUGUUUACUAUUUACUGUUACUGUUUACUAUUUACUGUUUACUGUUACUUUUACUGUUUAAUGUUGCUGUUACUGUUCACUGUUACUGUUUACUGUUCACUAUUUACUAUUACUGUUCACUAUUACUGUUUACCGUUUACUGUUACUGUUCAUUAUUACUGUUUACUAUUUACUAUUACUCUUUACUUUUCACUAUUUACUAUUACUGUUUUUAUAUGUUGUUUAUUACUGUUUACUGUAUCUUAUAUGUUUAUUACUGUAUCUUAUGUUGUUUAUUACUGUUUACUGUAUCUUAUAUGUUGUUUUUUACUGUUUACUGUAUCUUAUAUGUUUAUUACUGUUUAUUGUAUCUUAUAUGUUGUUUAUUACCGUUUACUGUGUCUUAUAUGCUGUUUAUUACUGUUUACUGUAUCUUAUAUGUUGUUUAUUACUGUUUACUGUAUCUUAUAUGUGAAGGAACCAUUUUUGUGUUUGUGUUGUUUUUUGUUUUCCUUGUUUGUGCCCCUGACUGCAAAUCAAGUUUCCCAUUUGGGAUCAUAAAGAUAACUGAACUGGAGGGGACUGGACUGGACUCUCUGUGA
rnacentral:lncRNA from 15 species